GACGAACGCUGGCGGCGUGCCUAAUACAUGCAAGUCGAACGAGAGCGACCGGUGCUUGCACUGGUCAAUCUAGUGGCGAACGGGUGAGUAACACGUGGGUAACCUGCCCAUCAGAGGGGGAUAACAUCCGGAAACGGAUGCUAAAACCGCAUAGGUCUUCGAACCGCAUAGUUUGAAGAGGAAAAGAGGCGCAAGCUUCUGCUGAUGGAUGGACCCGCGGUGCAUUAGCUAGUUGGUGAGGUAACGGCUCACCAAGGCCGUGAUGCAUAGCCGACCUGAGAGGGUGAUCGGCCACAUUGGGACUGAGACACGGCCCAAACUCCUACGGGAGGCAGCAGUAGGGAAUCUUCCGCAAUGGACGCAAGUCUGACGGAGCAACGCCGCGUGAGUGAAGAAGGUUUUCGGAUCGUAAAACUCUGUUGUUAGAGAAGAACAAGUGCUAGAGUAACUGUUAGCGCCUUGACGGUAUCUAACCAGAAAGCCACGGCUAACUACGUG
rnacentral:rRNA from 1 species